rnacentral:tRNA from 1 species
GGGGAUAUAGCUCAGUGGUAGAACACUUGCAUAGCAUUCAUGAGGCCCUGGGUUUAAUGCCCAGUAUCCACC